AACCAGAUCUCAAGAUGGAGCCGCUAGAAAGGAAAAUUUCUGUCCGGGAGCAACUAACAGUGGAGAAGGAAGAACAAAGCAAGAAAAAAAAAAACAUGACCGAUGUCAACUCGAUUGGGGCUCCUCUUGUCCCAGAACAAGAGGAGAGUGAAGGGGACUUGCCAAAGGACUCUGAAAAGCAAUUGGCCCAGAAGUUCAAGGCCUAUGAGUUGAGCCUGAAGGAUAUCCAGGCCAUCCUGGUGUUCUGGGACCGCAAGCAAGGAGUUCAGCUGCCUCACGGAGGGAUGGAAGAGGUGCCCCAUGAGCCUGAUGACCAGCGCCAGGCUCCCUCCGGGCGGCGGGGCCGCAAGGACCGGGACCGAGAGCGGGAGCGGGAGCGGGAGCGCCUGGAGAAGGAGCGGGCCGAGAGAGAGCGCCUGGAGAGGGAGAAGGCCGAGAGGGAGCGGCUGGAGAAGCUGCGGGCCCUGGAGGAGCGCAACGACGGGGAGGAGGAGGGGGAAGAAGACCACGAGGGCAAGAAGGACCUGGGGGUGCCCUUCAUCAACAUCCAGACUCCGGACCCCGAAGGCUUGAACUGGAAGCAGGCCUUGGAAAAUGACAGGCUCCCCAGGAUGGAACAGAUCCUGGACAUCUUGGGUCUGGGGUCCUCUGGACCACCCAUCCCACCUCCCGCCUUGUUCUCUGUCAUCUCCUAUCCUGUGAAGCGGCAACCCAUCGCCACCAUUGACAUCUUGAAACACUUUGUGUUUGUGACUCCACCAACGGAUGAGGUCUCCCUGGUAGAAGAAAAGAAAGAACCAGACGCAGAAUUUGAACUUGGCACCAACACCGUCUCUCCGAAGGUCCAAGAGGAACAGCCCACCUCAUCUAAGGGGGGAAGACAGAAAACCAAAGAAAAACCAGAGCAAACCCGGGAGACUCAGAAGGAAAAACGCCGCAUGGCCUUCAACAGGAAGGGCCUUGCUGGGGGCCCUGCUGGGAUCAUCACGCCCCUGACCGACAUGGACCAGAACAACUUCAGCGGGCAGCACUCUCAGGAGAAAUUCAUCAGGCUGAAUCACUUCCGGUGGAUCGUGCCAGCCAAUGGAGAGGUGACACUCCGAGUACACUUCUCUUCUAAUAGUCUGGGGAACUUUGAUCAAACCUUUAACUUUGAGAUACUUGGAACUCGCCGCCAGUACCAGCUUUAUUGCCGAGGUGUCUGCACUUACCCGUACAUUUGCCAAGACCCAAAAGUGGUAUUCCCUCAGCGGAAGAAGGACAUGAAGCCAAAUGAGGUCAUCUUUAAGCAGUAUAUUAUGAGCUUGGAGAAGUUUUCCUUUGGACCACUCCUUUGUGGAAAAUCAAGAGAUAAGUACAAGUCAUCCUUGUUCCCAGGCAACAUGGAGACGCUGACCAUCCUGAACAGUUCCCCCAUGGUGGUGGAGGCAUUCUUCUGUUUUCAGAAUGACAUCAAAGCAAGUACCUACUUUCUGGAGCCUGUCAACAUGACUCUGAAACCCAAUGAGAAACAGAUGCUAACCGUGUGGGCUUACCCUACUGCAGUUGGCGUCAUUGAAGACAGCAUUGUCUGCUGCAUCAAGGAGAACCCAGAGCCAGCUAUCUUCAAAUUAACCUGCCAGGGGAUCCGUCCAGAACUCGAGCUAGAGCCCAAACAAAUACAUUUUGACCGGCUCUUGCUCCACAGAAAAGAAUCCAAGACAGUUCUCCUCCACAAUGUCACGCCCCUGUCUGUGGCCUGGCGGGUUACCAGCCUGGAGCACCUGGGCGAAGACUUCUCCAUGUCCAUGAUGCAGGGCACCAUCCCACCCAAAGGGAAGUACAGCCUGAAUAUACACUUCCAGCCCUCCAAACCCAUCAACCUCAAGAAGGCCAUUCGGUUGGAGGUUUUAGAUGCAGAAAAUCUUGUUGGUGUUGUUCAGAUUGAAAACAUCCUGGUUUUUGCAGAAGCGUAUGACAUUGCCUUGGACAUCACCUUCCCCAAAGGUGCUGAAGGAGGCCUCGACUUUGGGACCGUGAGGGUCAUGGAGGAAACGAAGCAGCCCCUUCAACUGAAGAACCGAGGGAAAUAUGAGAUCAUGUUCAGGUAACCUGAGCCAUAUUAGGUGUGUGGCCAUCCAUGUGCACGCAUGGCAAGAAGGGCGUUGUCUAGGAGAUUUUUUUUUUAAGUGAAUCAAGGAAAUUAGAAGAAACUUCUCUGCUUUUUAUCUCCUCUGGUUUCAAAUGAAUGGAAUUCCAACCACUAAG
rnacentral:lncRNA from 1 species